rnacentral:sRNA from 1 species
UCUCUAUGUGCAUGGACUCUUCCUUCGGUAUCAUUUCCAGUCCGUGGAAAAAUAGUCUAUUUUCCCACAAAAAUAUGUAUAUCAUAUUAGAUAGAGCCCAAUUUAUCAUUACGUGUUAGAUAUCCCCGAAAACAUACUUAUCUACUUAUAUCUCCAUAAAUUCAUAGUUUGAAUCUCGUUUCUUCCUAAAUUUAUGUGGAUAUAACUCGAUAAGUAAUUUUUUGGGGGACAUCUAGCACGUAAUCAUAUAUUGGGCUCUAUCUAGUAUGAUGUGAUAGUUAUUGUGGAUUAAUCGUAGAUUAAUCUUUUCAUGGCUAUAUCAAAAUUU